GAUGAACGCUGGCGGCGUGCUUAACACAUGCAAGUCGAACGAUGAAGCCCAGCUUGCUGGGUGGAUUAGUGGCGAACGGGUGAGUAACACGUGAGUAACCUGCCCUUAACUCUGGGAUAAGCCUGGGAAACUGGGUCUAAUACCGGAUAGGAGCGUCCACCGCAUGGUGGGUGUUGGAAAGAUUUAUCGGUUUUGGAUGGACUCGCGGCCUAUCAGCUUGUUGGUGAGGUAAUGGCUCACCAAGGCGACGACGGGUAGCCGGCCUGAGAGGGUGACCGGCCACACUGGGACUGAGACACGGACCAGACGCCUACGGGAGGCAGCAGUGGGGAAUAUUGCACAAUGGGCGCAAGCCUGAUGCAGCGACGCCGCGUGAGGGAUGACGGCCUUCGGGUUGUAAACCUCUGUCAGUAGGGAAGAAGCGAAAGUGACGGUACCUGCAGAAGAAGCACCGGCUAACUACGUG
rnacentral:rRNA from 1 species